AGUUCGCUCUACACCCUUUGUGACAUACCUAUAACUGUUGCUUCGGCGGGUAGGGUCUCCGUGACCCUCCCGGCCUCCCGCCCCCCCGGGCGGGCCGGCGCCCGCCGGAGGAUAACCAAACUCUGAUUUAACGACGUUUCUUCUGAGUGGUACAAGCAAAUAAUCAAAACUUUUAACAACGGAUCUCUUGGUUCUGGCAUCGAUGAAGAACGCAGCGAAAUGCGAUAAGUAAUGUGAAUUGCAGAAUUCAGUGAAUCAUCGAAUCUUUGAACGCACAUUGCGCCCGCCAGCAUUCUGGCGGGCAUGCCUGUUCGAGCGUCAUUUCAACCCUCAAGCUCUGCUUGGUGUUGGGGCCCUACAGCCGAUGUAGGCCCUCAAAGGUAGUGGCGGACCCUCCCGGAGCCUCCUUUGCGUAGUAACUUUACGUCUCGCACUGGGAUCCGGAGGGACUCUUGCCGUAAAACCCCCCAAUUUUCCAAAGGUUGACCUCGGAUCAGGUAGGAAUACCCGCUGAACUUA
rnacentral:rRNA from 1 species